rnacentral:rRNA from 1 species
UAGUCGGAGGUGUGUCUCGGACGGUCGGUUCGCCGCUUGCCGGUGUUCAACUGGCCGGUCCGGACGUCCUGCCGGUGGGGCCGCGAGGUCCCGUUAUCCUUCUUUGGUCCUCUUCACCGAGUGCCUUGGUGGGCCGGCACGUUUACUUUGAACAAAUUAGAGUGCUCAAAGCAGGCCGUUGGUCGCCUGAAUACUGUGUGCAUGGAAUAAUGGAAUAGGACCUCGGUUCCAUUUUGUUGGUUUUCAGAACUCGAGGUAAUGAUUAAUAGGGACGGACGGGGGCAUUCGUAUUGCGACGUUAGAGGUGAAAUUCUUGGAUCGUCGCAAGACGAACCGAUGCGAAAGCAUUUGCCAAGAACGUUUUCGUUGAUCAAGAACGAAAGUUAGAGGUUCGAAGGCGAUCAGAUACCGCCCUAGUUCUAACCAUAAACGAUGCCAGCUAGCCAUCCGCCGAAGUUCCUACUAUGACUCGGCGGGCAGCUUCCGGGAAACCAAAGCUCUUGGGUUCCGGGGGAAGUAU